ACGGCUCAGUAACACGUAGUCAAUCUAACCUAUGGACGGGGAUAACCUCGGGAAACUGAGAAUAAUACCCGAUAGGCCAUUAUGCCUGGAACGGUUUAUGGCCGAAAUGAUUUAUCGCCAUAGGAUGGGACUGCGACCUAUCAGCUUGUUGGUAAGGUAAUGGCUUACCAAGGCUAUUACAGGUACGGGCUCUGAGAGGAGAAGCCCGGAGAUGGGUACUGAGACACGGACCCAGGCCCUAUGGGGCGCAGCAGGCGAGAAAACUUUGCAAUGUGCGAAAGCACGACAAGGUUAAUCCGAGUGGUUUGUGCUAAACGAACCUUUUGACAGUCCUAGAAACACUGUUGAAUAAGGGGUGGGCAAGUUCUGGUGUCAGCCGCCGCGGUAAAACCAGCACCUCAAGUGGUCAGGAUGAUUAUUGGGCCUAAAGCAUCCGUAGCCUGAUCUGUAAGUUUUCGGUUAAAUCUAUGCGCUUAACGUAUAGGCUGCCGGAAAUACUGCAGAUCUAGGGAGUGGGAGAGGUAGACGGUACUCGGUAGGAAGGGGUAAAAUCCUUUGAUCUAUUGAUGACCACCUGUGGCGAAGGCGGUCUACCAGAACACGUCCGACGGUGAGGGAUGAAAACUGGGGGAGCAAACCGGAUUAGAUACCCGGGUAGUCCCAGCUGUAAACAAUGCAAACUCAGUGAUGCAUUGGCUUGUGGCCAAUGCAGUGCUGCAGGGAAGCCGUUAAGUUUGCCGCCUGGGAAGUACGUACGCAAGUAUGAAACUUAAAGGAAUUGGCGGGGGAGCAC
rnacentral:rRNA from 1 species